ACUUCCCAUUCAUCAAAAUACUGUGGGUUGCGGGUGUUAGAGUUUUUCCAAAACUAAAUUAGACAUUCUAAGGAGGGGGUUCAAUUAAUUCUUUCAAAGAGUUGUCAGAUUAUUCUUUUCUGAGAUCAUUAGUUGUUCAGCUUAUUCAGACAACUCCAUCUGUACUGCUAGUUCAUACUGGCCGCGUUCAAUGCCCAUUGUCGUGAAACAAACUAAAAAGCAUAAAUGCGUGGUGGAUAGCUACAUCACUGGGACACCUACACCGCCAGACCAUUGCUUUUCAAUGCCUACCAGACUUUCACAAUUCGUCCACGCCAAACCCACACGGACUGGACACUUGAGGACCAGAUAUUUUUGACAGACGUAACCCUUUUGCGAGUUAAAGUCAACAAAUAUCAGUGAAAGUUUAGGCACGGAGGAUUAAAGUCAAAGUCAAAUGACAUGUCGGUUGCUGACUCGGCUCAUCAGUUCCUUACAUGACAAGAAUUAGAGCUUCUCCAAUGGUUAUGUGGUCAGUUUCAUAUGUGGCAUUUGUGAGAAGACAUCCUUUGUCUUAUUUGGCAACCAAUUUUUUGGAAACAAAAAUAAAUCUUACCAAUUGCGUUUUUAUCUAUUUAUUUUGCUUAGUUGUCUCUUAUUUUUAAACGGAAUAAAAGAUUUUUUUUGAUA